GAUCCUGGCUCAGGAUGAACGCUAGCUACAGGCUUAACACAUGCAAGUCGAGGGGCAGCAUGUUGGUUGCUUGCAACCAAUGAUGGCGACCGGCGCACGGGUGAGUAACGCGUAUCCAACCUUCCCUAUAGUAGAGGAUAGCCCGGCGAAAGUCGGAUUAAUACUCUAUGUUUUCCAAUGCAGACAUCUAAAAUGGAACAAAGGUUCACCGCUAUAGGAUGGGGAUGCGUCUGAUUAGAUAGUCGGCGGGGUAACGGCCCACCGAGUCGACGAUCAGUAGGGGUUCUGAGAGGAAGGUCCCCCACAUUGGAACUGAGACACGGUCCAAACUCCUACGGGAGGCAGCAGUGAGGAAUAUUGGUCAAUGGGCGAGAGCCUGAACCAGCCAAGUAGCGUGCAGGAAGACGGCCCUAUGGGUUGUAAACUGCUUUUAUACAGGGAUAAAGUGACGUACGUGUACGUUUUUGUAGGUACUGUAUGAAUAAGGACCGGCUAAUUCCGUGCCAGCAGCAGC
rnacentral:rRNA from 1 species